CUCAACAACACAGACCUCCGACGGAGCUGAUCCCUCGGGUUCAUACUCGGGCUCUACGUCAGACUCUACAGCACCAAAAGACGGAACACCGUGGCCUUUAAAUAGGCCAAGUGUGGCGGUUUGCAAGGCAUGCGUGUCGCACGGGUGGAAGAA